AAUGAAACAAGAUUCUUGUAUAAAUGCAUAGAAUUAAUUAAAAUACACCCCAAUGUUUUGUUGUUUAAAUCUGAACUGAUAAAACAAAAGAUUAUGUUGAUCACUAGUACUACAAGUACUUUGAUUCUUGAUUGUCUUUAUGGCUUGCAACCAGCAUGAGUUGAAGUCCAUUUUGCUCUACACGCAUAGCAGAAUUCAAAGCUACAUCUGUGGCAUCCCGAUAAGAAAUGUAAACAAUUCCCCUGUUAAUGCUUCAUUUAAUGCUGGAAUGAGAAAAAAAAGAUUAAAUUCUGCCACAAUGCAACAAAGAUGCACAAAGAUUAAAUUCUACACCCACCUGCCACAACAACCGUAUUAUUUGAUGAAUUCUCUCUUGCUAUAUCCUGUUGAAGAAUAGAAUAAAAACAUUUGUGAUUUGUUUCACUACCCAGUUGUCCCUUGUUAAGAGUGGCAUAUAUUUUCCCCCUUUUGUAUACCCAUAUCUUCGAAAGGGAAAUGAAAAGAUUACUUCGAUGUCAUUGUUUAAACCAUUAAUUCUGUAAAAACAUAUAGUAAUUAGAAAUAACUAAUUAGUUUUGCAAACAUAACAAAUCACUAAUUCGGUCCACCAUCUGCAAAACCCCCACUUUGUCCAUAAAAAAAUGCUCAAUACAAAGAUACGAAAUACAAAACUAGAGGCAUACCAUUCACCUGCAAAACCCCCAUCUCAUACCAUUUUAAUUUUGGCCAUGGAAAAAACUUCCCUCCUCCACCACCACCUAUAAGUCCCCCAACCUAAUUUUGUCCAGAAAAAUGGUAACAAUCUUCUCCCACCCACCUGUAAAACCCCCAUUUUCUAAUUCUGGCCGAAAUUAUAAAAAAAUGUUGUGCUAGUAAUCCAAACUAAUUAAAAUUGAGCAUGGUGAAAAGCAUUCCUUGCAUAGUUACUAAAUAAAUAGGGGAUACAGAAACAUCCAAGUGGCUGUAAUUUACCUCUAAUCUUGCUUGCAUGUAGAUACUUCCAUUCAACACACACU
rnacentral:lncRNA from 1 species